CGGAAGGUCCAGGCGUUAUCCGGAUUCAUUGGGUUUAAAGGGAGCGUAGGCCGCCUUUUAAGCGUGUUGUGAAAUGUAGGGGCUCAACCCCUGCACUGCAGCGCGAACUGGAGGGCUUGAGUACACACAAAGUAGGCGGAAUUCAUGGUGUAGCGGUGAAAUGCUUAGAUAUCAUGAAGAACCCCGAUUGCGAAGGCAGCUUACUGGAGUGUAACUGACGCUGAAGCUCGAAAGCGCGGGUAUCGA
rnacentral:rRNA from 1 species